AAAUGUAGGCCUGGCCCAGACAACAACAUGAGCGAUGCAGAGGCGGCAGGGGGCCAGGGCAUGUGCUCUGCAGGGACAGUACGGAUUCACACAGCGCUGGGAGGGGGUGAAUCCAAAAGCCAGUGUUAAUUGAAGCCUAGCAGGCAUCUCCUGCCACUGCAGCUAAUUUCAUCCCACCGGACCCAUGCCUGGUGACUGGAGUGGCCCUGAGUUUUUCACAGCUUGAUUUAAUACACUCCCCCAAGACCAGAAGGAAGAAAUUAGGAUUGUAUGUGGCAUCUCUUCCUAUCCCAGAUUUCCUCUUAAAAAUAUGUGAACAUACUCCAGCCAUGUUCACGCAUAAAGAUCUCUGGUGCGAAACAAUGUAAAAAAUGUAAUGUCUGCCUCACUCCCACAAAUAUUUUCAAGCAUACACACACACACACACACACACACACACACACACUCAAUUAAAUAUUAAAUGACCCUCAAAA